rnacentral:miRNA from 1 species
CUAAAUUGUUAGCCUCGAUUUU